rnacentral:rRNA from 1 species
CUGGCGGCGUGCCUAAUACAUGCAAGUCGAGCGGACAGAAGGGAGCUUGCUCCCGGAUGUUAGCGGCGGACGGGUGAGUAACACGUGGGUAACCUGCCUGUAAGACUGGGAUAANUCCGGGAAACCGGAGCUAAUACCGGAUAGUUCCUUGAACCGCAUGGUUCAAGGAUGAAAGACGGUUUCGGCUGUCACUUACAGAUGGACCCGCGGCGCAUUAGCUAGUUGGUGGGGUAAUGGCUCACCAAGGCGACGAUGNGUAGCCGACCUGAGAGGGUGAUCGGCCACACUGGGACUGAGACACGGCCCAGACUCCUACGGGAGGCAGCAGUAGGGAAUCUUCCGCAAUGGACGAAAGUCUGACGGAGCAACGCCGCGUGAGUGAUGAAGGUUUUCGGAUCGUAAAGCUCUGUUGUUAGGGAAGAACAAGUGCGAGAGUAACUGCUCGCACCUGACGGUACCU